GUUUCCGGCGACCUCCGAGGCUUUCGAGGCAGUUUCCGGCCAAACUACGGCGAACUAGGUGUUGGGAAAGGUACCAUUCUCUUUGUCUCUUCAAGGGCUACAACUUUCGUUUUUGAAUCACUUGAUUUCGUUGAGAAAUGACAAAGUUAUGGUAAUUUGAAAAACUGCCCAGAAAACGGCCGCCGGAAAAACCAGUCCGGCGACCCAAGGAAGAAGAAGGUGCUACAGUAAAAAAUAAAAAUAAAAAUAAAAUUAUUUUAAAAAUAUGUCGACGUCCGUGACGUCGAGUAGAUCACCGUGGUAUAUUCAUAUACCCAAAUUGAACACCGUAUGAGAAAGUUAUUGAAGAUUGUUGGUUAGGUGUUCAAAUAACGUUUUAUAGUUUUCACAUUUAGGUGAAAAUGUGAAUUGAUGAUCCGACCGUUGGAUCGUCACCAAACUUUGAUACGUUGUAAUACGUAAUAUUUGAGGAUUAUUGGAACUUACGGAUUGGGAAUCCGAGUUACGGAUCUUCCGGAAUUGGAAUUGUAAGUCCAUAAUAUAAAAUGUUAACCGUCACUUAGUUUUGGAAAUUGACGGAGAUCCGACCGUUGGAUGGUAAUGAAAUUUUAGGAUGUUGUCCUAGAGGUAUAAUGUGGACCUCUGGAAGUUAUGGAUUUAAAAUCUGAGUGGCAGAUCUUCCGGAUCGAUCUACGUAGUGACGUAUUUUAUAUAAGUUAUAUAUUCUAUCGAUAUGAAUUCUGAGGUUGGAUUUGAUUACUGUUCUAGGCGGCGAUCGUCAUGACGCCUUGAUGUGUGGUGCUAGGGAGUUGUUGGACGAACUCCAGGUGAGUGGGCAGUUUUGUUUUCCGUAUACAUAUAUAAUUGACGUUUCCCAGAAAUUGAAAAUGUUACGAAAGUAUGCUUUAAAUGCAAAGUAUAAAAGUAUGUUUUCAAAUGCCAUGAGUAGAUUAUAUGAAAGAUAUGAUUUGAGAUAUAUUAGUUGAAAUACCAUGCUUAGAAGUAUGUGAAAAGUAUAUAGAAAUGUGAAUCGAAAUGCCAUGCAUGAAAUGAUAUGAAAAGUAUGAAUUGAGAUAUGAUGCAUAUGUAUGAAUUGGUGCUGUGGACGCACAGGUGAGUAUCAGGUGAGUAUAUUACUGCUAUGAUGAUGUUGAGAUAUAUUGAGCUCAUAACCUGCACCUUGGUAUUAGUGCUUAUUAUUAUUCACCGCAUCGCAUGCUCACCUUGGAUCCAAGUAGAUGCUAGUCGUACAGACCACCGGGGGUGGUUCCGACAUGCCAGUCGUACAGACCAUUAGAGGGGUUCCGACUGGUAGGUGACCUUAGAUUAUGUGCACAGAUGAUUGAUGAGAAAAGCACUAGAGCAUAUUAUUACACCAUUAAGUCGUACAGAUUACAUUAGGUAAUUCCGACUUAUGUGCAGUGUAGUGCCGUACAGGUCAUACUAGGUGACUCCGGCAUGGCCGAACAGGUCACAGUUGGUGACUCCGGUUAUAUGAGAUUUUGAGCUCUACAUUCAGCCGUACAGGACCAUUGUAGGGUCUCCGGUUGAUUUCUUUCUUGCACCUGAUAUGAUUAUUGCUGAUGCAUUCAUACUUAACUGUUGAAUUUAGACAUGGCAUGGCAUGAUUGAUAAAGAUAAAUGUUGAGAUAGUAAAAAUGAAGUUUUGAUAAUAUAUAUGUAUAUUUAUAUUUUACAUUUCUGGGAAAGUAUACAGGUUUUACGGAGAGGGGUUACAACGUUUUGAGAAAUGUUUGGAUUUGGAAAAGAAUUGUUUUACUGACCCACUCAAUUUUGGUUUUGCGCCCCUCCAGGUUCAUGAAUCACAAAGGUGUGGUGACUACGAGGAAUUCGACGGUGUUCUGACAGAUUGGACAAAAUUAGGACUCACUUUCGGGUGUAUCAACUUAGGAAUUGUAUCUUAAAGCUUCCGUACUGUGCAAAUGGUUACGUCACUCUCACGUGACGGCCAGCAUGCCCUCCUUCGGGACGGGGUGUGUCAGUUGGUAUCAGAGCAUGGUUGCAAUCUUGGACAUUUUGAGAAGUUCUAGUGAAUUCUGUCAGAACUACACCGCCUCGUAGCAAGCCACUUAGUUAGAGGAAUUUAGUCUCCCUAAUAUAACGGUUUAGGGGAAACUAUUAUUAUGGUGAUUCAGUCUAUUAUAAAAAGGGACAUUUUAAGAUGGGUUAUGAGUUGAAUUUGAAUCACUUAAGAGAAAUGAUGAACCUGAGGGAGCGAAGUAACGGUUUAACCAUUUGGAAAAGAUGUUUCGGAUUAUGCAAGUCAAAGGAAUCUUCCUUCUGACAAGGGGUCGAGAUGACUACCUGGUUUGAGUUAUGAACGUGUAUCCUGAUGGAAGCAGGAGUAUUAAUUGUUGUCAUCGGAGGAACAGCCGAUUUAAAAUUGUUUAAGGACUUGUUUAAGGAAAAGUUUAUCCCUCCGGCAUUUAUCGAUGGUAGUAAACAAGAGUUUACAAAUAUGAGACAAGGAAGGUGAUGAUCGAGGGAUAUUAUAGAAAGUUUUCAGACUUGCCUUGUUCCAUCCAGAUAUUGUUGUUAUUGGUGGAGGUGUUAUGUUGUUUUAAGCUGGGUGGCAAAAAGGGAAGUGGUAUUUUGGGUGACCACUAUCCAUUGUAGUUCUUAUCAGGAGUAUGCUAGAUGUUGUUGAGUCUUGAGGACUCUGAGAACAUGAGCAACGAGAAUAAAGAAGAAUAAGAAAUGAAUGGGAAUUUAAAGAAGACGAUAAAGUUAAUGAUUCGUCAUAUCAAGGAGAUAGAAAGAUUCAGAGCUUCGAAAGAAGUGAAGCUAGAGUUAAUUCUUCCAGCUGAGGUUUUAAUGUCGCUGGUCAGAGUAAAAGUGAUGGAUAUACUGGUAAUCCCAGAUAUUUGAGACAAGGUGUCUCGAGUAAAGGAAAUGUACUUUGUGCAGCAGGUACAAAAUUAACACUUUGGGAAAUGUGAAAUUAAUGAAUGUGUUUAUGUAAACAGAGGGGACACAUAAUUGUGAAUCGUCCCUAAAAUCAGUUGUACUCAACAAUUUUCCAUGAUAUCAUAGUGUCAAUUCAGCAGAGUUAUGGACUUAGUAGUUUGGUUGGAUUGACCAUGAGUACCGAGAGAUUUGAUGAGUUAUAUGUUCAGCCGUACAGGCCAAAAGAGGUGGAUCCGGCUGACACAUGAGAAAUUGGUGAGUUAUAGGCUCGGCUGUACGGACCACAAGAUGUGGAUCCGGCCGACGUAUUUACUGGGGAAUUGAUGUGUAAGUCGUACAGGUCACUAUAAGUGACUCCGACUAAUGUGCUAGCAUAGAUGGUUGAGCUGGAGAAUCAGCCGUACAGGUCAUUCUAGUUGACUCCGGCUGAUAUAUUUCUGAGUAUGGACAAUGAUGCCAAAGAAAGUAAUGUUGGAACGUGAUAGAGGCGUAUAUGUGUAUUCUAAUGAAAAAAAAAAAUGAUAGUAUUACACCUUUGGGAAUUGUUGCUUACUUAUCGAGACAACGAUGAUUUAUCAGUAUUGCGGGCUGCAGACCGUAAUAUUAAUAACUCAUUCGUGGAUUCGUUAAGCAAGCAAACCGGUAUUUUAUUUUAUGUUAGUGUUGUACUUAUUUAGAAUGUUCAGUAAUAAUAAAGUAUGUAUUGGGUCAGUUAAUUUUAUUCCAUUAGAUUGAUUAUUUAUAGUUGUGACUAGAUGGAAUAUUACGGGAAACCAGUUACUUUCCAUCGAUCUGGAUGACCAGAGAUUACUUUUGUAAGUAUGCAAAAUGGAUUGAGUCAGGCCGUUAUUUAUGCUGUGAGAGCAAAGAGAUUGUUUUCGAAAGGCUGUCAAAAAUACUUAGCUCAUGUGGUGCUAAAUGAUGUUGUUUGGAGUAGUGUGAAUAAUGUCGAAAGAGUUAGACUUUUCUUGAUGUCUUCUCUGAAAGUAUACCUGGAUUGUCUUCAGGCAGAGAUAUGAGGUUCAUUAUUGAUUUGUUGCCAGGUAUAAAUUUAUGUUAAAGAUUGGUUCAUGAUGAGUUAAGGGAAUUGGAAAUUCAGUUGAGAGAAUUGGUUGAUAAAAGUUUUAUUCAACCUAGUACAACACUGUUGAGGAGCACCAGUUUGUUGGUGAGAAAGGAAAUGGACUUAGAGAUUGUUCAUUGAUUAUAGAUAAUGGAAUCGGGUAACGAAUGAGAACCGUUAUCCAUUGUGGUGUAUUGACGCUCAUUUGAUCAGUUCAAAGGUGCUUGUAUAUUUUCAAAGAUUGACUUGAAUACUGUUUAUUAUCAAUUGAAGAUUAUGAGUUAUUGGAUGAAGUAUUCCAAUAAUGCCUUGAUAAAUAGAUAUCAUUUUCAUUGAAGAUAUUCUGGCAUAUUCUGAGCCAGAGCAGAACAUGUAAACGUAUUAAGUCGGUGGAACAAAGAUUGGAAGAAUGUCGGUUGUAUGCUAAGUAGCAAAUGCUAAAGUUAGAUGAAUCAUGUGGCAUUCUGAGAAUUGUUAUAUAUUCUUAAGGUAUUCAAGUGAAUCCUUAAAAGAUAGCAGAAAUUGAGAAAUUGGAACAACCACAAGCCAUAAUUGAGAUUCGGAAAUUCUUAACUUAUCAGGCUAUUUUGGAUGGUUGUGAAAGAAUUUUUAGUCAUUGUUUUGUCAUUGAUGAGACUGUUGAGAAAGGAGGUUAUGUAUGAGUGGGAAGGAAAUUGUGAGCAAAGGAUUCAACAACUGAAGUAUUUCCUCACUCAUGCACGUAUUUUAGUAAUCCCAAAGAAUAAUGGUAAUCAUAAAUUUUUAGUGAUGUUUCUUGAAUGGUAUUGGAUGCAUGUUGAUGCAAAUGUUAGGGUGAUUGCAUACGUUUCACGACAAAUGGAAUCUCAUGAGAUGAAUUACCCUACUGGUGAUUUGGAAGUCACGAUUACCAUCCUUGCUGUGAAGUUAUGGAGACAUUCUAUGUUGAUAAGAAUGCAAGAUUUUACAAAUCAAAAGAGUCUCCAAUAUUUGUUUACUUGGAAGGAUUUUGAUAGGAGGCAGCGAAUGUGAAUUGUAUUGCUUAAUGAACAUGAUUGUACGAUCAGGGUGAUCGUAAAGUUUGUUCUAACUGAAGCACUUGGUGAGAAGACUACAAUAAGAUUAAUGUCUGGCACGUUUGCCAAGAGUAUCAUCUUGUGGAUUGAAACCAACGGAAGAAAAAUUAAGAAUGGAAGAUCGAGAAGAAGUUAUACUUGUUAAAUUUCAAGUUAGGCCUGUUUGGUAAGGUCGUACUUGAAACUUAAAUGCUUGACGAAGAAAUUUAAGAAUUAACCAAGGUAGAGAAAGAAGGUAAGUUAAAUCCUAAGUUAAUCGGACUUAAGUGAUUAUCGAAAAGUUGGUGAAGUUGCUUACAAGCUUGUGAUGCCCUCAGAAUUGGUUAAGGUGCAAAACAUAUUUUAUGAUUCGAUGCGUUGUCACUAGGUGGCAGAUUCGUCACAUAAGAUUCUGGUGUAACUAUUGAGAAUUAAAUUGGAUUCGACUUGAUAAGGAACCAAGGACGACUUUGGAUUGGAAAAAGAAGGUCCUGAGAAAUUAAGACAGAGUAAGUAGUAGUAAAAGCUUUGUGAAGGAAAUCAUUCAGUAGAAAAGUAUGUGGGAGAAAGAGAAUCGGAUGAGAAAGAUUUACCCGAAGCUAUUGUUGGAGUAUGGUUUGAUUUUAGUUGGUUGCUGGAAUUUCGGGGACGAAAUUCUAUAAGGAGGGAAGAUUGUCACAGCCCGUCCCGGAAUUUUAAUUCCGAGGACAUGAAAAGACGAAAAUGCCCUUAAACGGGACUAAGGGGCGAAAAUUUAACAAUUUGGAUUGAGUUGGACACGUGGGAUCCCCACACCCCUCAAUCCUCUCCCUAUUUUCUGCAUACUGUCUCUCUCUCCUCCCUCACGAAUCUCUCUCUCUCUGUCACUCUUCUUCUCCGUUCGAACAAACCAACCACAAAACAACCUUAAACUUCCACCAACGACGGAGUUAAGACUACCAUCGAACUCCUGGAGACUCCACGAUCACGUAGACACCAAUUUCAGGUAAGUUUUACUUCGGAAAACCUAGAUUCUAAACUCCCCGUGAAAGUGCACUGUUCAUGAUCUUCGAAUUGACUUUGUUUUAGGACAAUCCAAGCUCACAGUGAGCUUAGUGAGGUUCCAAGGAAGCUCGGAGUGCUUCGUUGGAAGUUUUUGGACGUAAGAACACGGAGAUCGAUAAGUUCAAAGUUUGGCCGGAGCUUUCGAGGCAUUUUCCGGCGAAUCCCCGGCGAGUUAGGCGUCGAGGUAGGUAUCAAUCUCUUUCGUCUCGUCAAGUACUACAAACUUUCCUUUUUGUUUCACUCAAUUUCGUUGAGUAUUGAAGAAGUUAUACUCAUUUGAAAAAUACCCAGUUUCCGGCGACCUCCGAGGCUUUCGAGGCAGUUUCCGGCCAAACUACGGCGAACUAGGUGUUGGGAAAGGUACCAUUCUCUUUGUCUCUUCAAGGGCUACAACUUUCGUUUUUGAAUCACUUGAUUUCGUUGAGAAAUGACAAAGUUAUGGUAAUUUGAAAAACUGCCCAGAAAACGGCCGCCGGAAAAACCAGUCCGGCGACCCAAGGAAGAAGAAGGUGCUACAGUAAAAAAAUAAAUAAAAAUAAAAUUAUUUUAAAAAUAUGUCGACGUCCGUGACGUCGAGUAGAUCACCGUGGUAUAUUCAUAUACCCAAAUUGAACACCGUAUGAGAAAGUUAUUGAAGAUUGUUGGUUAGGUGUUCAAAUAACGUUUUUAUAGUUUUCACAUUUAGGUGAAAAUGUGAAUUGAUGAUCCGACCGUUGGAUCGUCACCAAACUUUGAUACGUUGUAAUACGUAAUAUUUGAGGAUUAUUGGAACUUACGGAUUGGGAAUCCGAGUUACGGAUCUUCCGGAAUUGGAAUUUGUAAGUCCAUAAUAUAAAAUGUUAACCGUCACUUAGUUUUGGAAAUUGACGGAGAUCCGACCGUUGGAUGGUAAUGAAAUUUUAGGAUGUUGUCCUAGAGGUAUAAUGUGGACCUCUGGAAGUUAUGGAUUUAAAAUCUGAGUGGCAGAUCUUCCGGAUCGAUCUACGUAGUGACGUAUUUUAUAUAAGUUAUAUAUUCUAUCGAUAUGAAUUCUGAGGUUGGAUUUGAUUACUGUUCUAGGCGGCGAUCGUCAUGACGCCUUGAUGUGUGGUGCUAGGGAGUUGUUGGACGAACUCCAGGUGAGUGGGCAGUUUUGUUUUCCGUAUAUACAUAUAUAAUUGACGUUUCCCAGAAAUUGAAAAUGUUACGAAAGUAUGCUUUAAAUGCAAAGUAUAAAAAAGUAUGUUUUCAAAUGCCAUGAGUAGAUUAUAUGAAAGAUAUGAUUUGAGAUAUAUUAGUUGAAAUACCAUGCUUAGAAGUAUGUGAAAAGUAUAUAGAAAUGUGAAUCGAAAUGCCAUGCAUGAAAUGAUAUGAAAAGUAUGAAUUGAGAUAUGAUGCAUAUGUAUGAAUUGGUGCUGUGGACGCACAGGUGAGUAUCAGGUGAGUAUAUUACUGCUAUGAUGAUGUUGAGAGAUAUAUUGAGCUCAUAACCUGCACCUUGGUAUUAGUGCUUAUUAUUAUUCACCGCAUCGCAUGCUCACCUUGGAUCCAAGUAGAUGCUAGUCGUACAGACCACCGGGGGUGGUUCCGACAUGCCAGUCGUACAGACCAUUAGAGGGGUUCCGACUGGUAGGUGACCUUAGAUUAUGUGCACAGAUGAUUGAUGAGAAAAAGCACUAGAGCAUAUUAUUACACCAUUAAGUCGUACAGAUUACAUUAGGUAAUUCCGACUUAUGUGCAGUGUAGUGCCGUACAGGUCAUACUAGGUGACUCCGGCAUGGCCGAACAGGUCACAGUUGGUGACUCCGGUUAUAUGAGAUUUUGAGCUCUACAUUCAGCCGUACAGGACCAUUGUAGGGUCUCCGGUUGAUUUCUUUCUUGCACCUGAUAUGAUUAUUGCUGAUGCAUUCAUACUUAACUGUUGAAUUUAGACAUGGCAUGGCAUGAUUGAUAAAGAUAAAUGUUGAGAUAGUAAAAAUGAAGUUUUGAUAAUAUAUAUGUAUAUUUAUAUUUUACAUUUCUGGGAAAGUAUACAGGUUUUACGGAGAGGGGUUACAACGUUUUGAGAAAUGUUUGGAUUUGGAAAAGAAUUGUUUUACUGACCCACUCAAUUUUGGUUUUGCGCCCCUCCAGGUUCAUGAAUCACAAAGGUGUGGUGACUACGAGGAAUUCGACGGUGUUCUGACAGAUUGGACAAAAUUAGGACUCACUUUCGGGUGUAUCAACUUAGGAAUUGUAUCUUAAAGCUUCCGUACUGUGCAAAUGGUUACGUCACUCUCACGUGACGGCCAGCAUGCCCUCCUUCGGGACGGGGUGUGUCACAAAUAAUUCAAAACCUGUCUCUAACUCUCUGAUCCAAUGAUCCAAAUAAUUAAGUAAUGUUAACAAUUACAUGUUAAUUUUUUUUAAGUAAUUAAGUAAUGUUAACAAUCACCAUGUUUUAUAUUAGGAUUAUUUUAUUAUCAAAUUGGAUUAUUCAUUAAAUUGGAUUAUUAUCAAAUUUGAUUAUUAUUCAUCACCAUGUUUUAUAUUAGGAUUAUUUUUUUAUGAAAUUGGAUUAUUAUUCAUUAAAUUAGAUUAUUAUUCAUUAAAUUGGAUUAUUAUCAAAUUGGAUUAUUAUUCAUCACCAUGUUUUAUAUUAGGAUUAUUUUUUUAUGAAAUUGGAUUAUUCAUUAAAUUGGAUUAUUAUCAAAUUGGAUUAUUAUUCAUCACCAUGUUUUAUAUUAGGAUUAUUGUACUAAUUCAUUAUAUAUAAAUUAUUAUGAUGUGUUUAGACUUCUUUCAUUAAUUACUACAUAUUUUCUACAUUCACAAUGUUUGUCAGCUAGCUAUAUAAUCAACUUGAUAAUGCUAAAUCCAUCAUGCAAUGCAUUUCUUUCCAAUUUUUUGUGAUAAACUAAUAGAUAAUUGACUAAAU
rnacentral:lncRNA from 1 species